rnacentral:lncRNA from 1 species
UCAGAGAGGGGCUUCAAGAUCAGUGAUUUUCCAGCAGCUGGGAGAAUGGACUGGAACAGAUACCCCCUGAACCGUUCUGACAGCCCAGAUUAGAAGGGGGAAGGUGGAGGAAAGGCACGUCAUACCAUGAAGCUGGCCAGGGUGAUUCUCUGACUCCUGGAAUGGCAGACCUGGAUCGUCUGCCCUUCCCACGUCUUCGCCGAUCAGUCCCCACUUUCCAGCCUGCACAAGUGCCUUGGAGCCCUACCCUUUGGAUGCAGCCAAAGCCAUUCCUAGCAGCCCUUGAGGGUUCUAACAACACAACUGUGGAGUCAGAGG